CGCAGGUAUCCUCGGCGCUCUCUCGGCGCGGUUCGAGCGCGAGCGCGGCCGCCAGUAGCCUGGCAGAGCGGCGCGGGACGGCGGACGGCGCUGAGAUGUUUCCUGAGCCUACAGCAAGUCAGAGAGAGCACAGAAAAGGUGACCCACCAACUGGCCUACCUCGGCCUCGAGCUCAGAUGGCCCCGCCAGGCCGGACAACCGCGGGAGAGGAGACUCAGGACCUCUGUCUGCUUCAAACACCGCGGGAGCACAGCUGGUGAAUCCGCAUCAUUGGGGAGAUUUUCUAGGGCUCAAUGUGUUUUGAAGUUCUGUGCUGCUGGCAUCGCAUGAUUUAGAAGCACCAAGAAUGUCCCUGCCGCCAAUCGCUCACAUGGGAAAGAUAGCAAGACAGCCCGAAGGUUAAACCGGCAGGUCAGUGGCGCUCCUGUCCUGCCUUUCUGGAUGAAAGAAUUCUUUUUUCUUGAUAAACUAUAAAGGAAGCCUCACAGACCCUUAUCAGGAUU